AUGAAUCUUUUUUGGAGCAAUGGGACUUGCUGGUACAUUUGUUGCAGGCGUCUCUCUAAUACUGCGGAUAUUCCUGUAUGGAGGCUGGAUAGCUCUGCCUCUUAUACUACUAAAUCUUUUUAUGCCCAGAUCAAUUGGGGAGGGGUUGAAGUUCCAAAUAGAUACCUUGUAUUUGUUCGGCUGGUUAUUCAUAAUAAGAUUCUGACUCGUGAUAAUUUGAGUAAAAGGAAAGUAGUUGAAGAUCUUUCUUGCUUAUUUUGUAGUGAACCAGAAUCUGUCAACCAUUUACUGUGUGGGUGCAUUGUGGCAGAACACACUUUGCAGAGUGUUUCUGAGGUUUUUGAUCUUAGUGCCCCCAAUUGUGUUUCUGAUCUUGCCUGUUUGUGGGACUGUGAUAAUAAAAAAAGGAUUUCUUGCAUUGUUGCUGUUGCUACUUUGUGGAGUUUAUGGACAACACGUAAUGAUAUAUGUUUUCAGGGAGCAUCUUGGAAAGACACCCGGAUUGUUCUGGGAAAGAUAAGCAGCUACUUCAUCAAUGGCUGA
rnacentral:rRNA from 1 species